rnacentral:snoRNA from 1 species
GUUGCGGCUCUUGUUGCUGUAUGACUUGUGCAAAAGAGGCCUGCAAAGAGCACAGAGCAAAGGUUUGUGAGCAUGCUGCCAUGCAUGCUUAUUAUGCUGAGCAU